UAUGGGGCGCAGCAGGCGCGAAAACUGCACAAUGUGGGAAAUCACGAUGAGGGAACCCCGAGUGUCAGCACAAUGUGUAGACUGUCACCGAGUGUACG
rnacentral:rRNA from 1 species